GUUGAGGAGCACACGGUGCUCGUACACAGCAGCUACAUAAGACAGAUAAUCCUCGGCCCGGAUGAGCUGCAGUCCGGUCAGACAGAGUAACACAAACCCGGCGGUACGCAGAACCCGCACCGACAUGACGACUGAUCCGCUCAGGCGAUGAUGCUCCACUGCACUCACUGCGAGGUCCCAGCACAGGAGACACCUGCUCAAAACCCUCCAGAGACCCGGAGCCCGGCAGCUGAAGAACAUCCGGGCAGACCGACGGUGAUGAAGGACAGGAUGACGAUGAAGGGUACGGACAGGAGGACGAGAGCUUGGGAUAGGUGUCAGGAGAGGAGGGAUACGGGCAGCGCAGAUCUACAGGAGCAGAAGUGGAGCUCUGACUGCAGGUGGAUUGUGUCUCUGGGUCAUCUUCUGAUGUAUAACCAUUACAAUUCUCAUCCUCCUCAAUGUUCACAGAGAUCACUGUAGCACAAACACACACAAUACACAAACAUCAUGUUUAAAACUUCACGCCUCUCUCUGAUCCAACCUGCACACCACCCAUAAAAUCAGGCCUGUCCUCCACCUAUGUUGGUAUGCAUGACGUCACUCACUAGAUAUGCCAUCCGACUCCAUUUUAAAGUUGGUGAUGUCGUCAUUAUUGGCCCGGUCGUCUUCGGCCCCGACCCCUCGGCCCCUGGGUCCCAUAGCAGAGAGUCGUCUCCGUGUGUGGAUCUCAUCUGAGAUGGUCUCCAGGUUUUUAAGAGCGGUCCGGUAUUCGCCUUUGGCUUGGGUCAGUUUGGCUUGCCGAUCAUCCACUCGUCUUUUAAGUUGCUGUAGGAGAGGUCACAUAAAUUUAUGAUUAAAAUCUAAUAUGCACGUUAGAUUGUUUUCAGCAGAAAAAAGAAACUGGCGUACCUCGAGCUGUAGGUAAUAUUUCGCCUUCAAUUCAAAGUACGGCCUGCAGAGGGAGAUAAAGAAAUGUUGAAAUAAAUCAAGUCUCUUAGCGUCUCUAUGGCAACAGCAAAACUCUUGGUCAGUAAAGAGGACGACCGCAUUCCAGCUGGAGAAACACAUCUGGAAAACAUUAAAGACGACGAACUACAUCUACAAAUCCACUGACACAGAGCUGAGGCCUGGGGUGGGGCAGGAAAAACAAAACCAUUUCCAUCUCCUAAAAACUGGACUGAGACAUUUUUGGUCUAACAACAUUUCUUUGAGAGAAAAGAAAAAUCUAUGUUUGUUUUCUUAUAAUUUGGUUACACUUUACAAUAAGGUUGUAUUGUUUAGCAUUAGUAAAUGCAACAUGAACUAACAAUAAGUAAUAUAGUUCUUCAGCAUUUAUUCAUCUUUGUUAAUGUUAGUUAUGUCAAUACAAUUGUUCAUGUUAGCUCAUUGUCCACCACUGUUACUUUAGAUUUGACUAAAAGCAUCCAAAAUAAUUCAUAUUUUAUCAUCUUCAGUGACGUCACCCUUUGCCUAUAAUUUGCAAAAUCGUUGUGGCAUUUUAUCAAGCAGAUUCUUGAGGUUUCACCCUGAGAUGCAUUUUAUUAAAGGAGUUCACAUCUAUUUUGGACUCUUAUUGGCUGCUUUUUCUUUCAUAUUCAGUCUAAGGCCUUCAUUUAAAUUUUUUUAAUAUAACUUGCUUUAAAGUUUAAAAUCCCACUGUAUUUAAUCAUUUUAUCACUUAAAAUGCAUCCUCGAACAUCAUAAUAGGUAAAAGUUUUUCUGUGACUAAAUGCUUUAAAACAGCUUGUAUGUAACGCUACACCAUUGCCUCAUUAAGUAUAUGUGGAUCUAUUAAUAUGCAAAUUAGUUCUCGACUCUACUCUUUAUGCUCUCCACUCUUUUCACUUGGAACAUAGAUAUAAAUGUGAAUAGAUGCUACAUUUGGCAGUUUCAGAAACAAAAUUUAUAUGUAAACUGCGCAUUUGCAGUAGUAAUGUUUUAGUACUGAUGUUAACUCAGUCCUCGCCAGCCUUUUUUUUUUGUUGUUGAACAUUUGUCCACUAGCAUUUUAUGUGAUUUUCAUAAACAUUUCAUAAAAUGCCUUUCAGGGAAAAAAAUUCUAAAAAUAUAUAAACAUACAAAUAUUCACCUUAUUUUUCACGACAACAAGGGCGGCGCCAUUUCGCUCAUUUUGUCAACGUUCUUCCGGCCGCAUAGACGAUGAGCAGCUGAGGCAGUGACUGAAGGCGACGUGUUAAGCUUAAAAAGCUCACUCGCGCGCCUUUAUGUUUCUUUCUUACCAAUUUUAAGCCAACUGAGGAACACCCUUAUCCCAAGUAAUGGUUCGACUACGAUGUUCCGGUAACUUUAAACCACGCCGGGUGUUGAAAAGGUGGCCAGUUUCAGAUGCAUUGAUGUUUAGUGAUGCAGUGGACAACUGUGAGGAUGAUACAAUCAACAUGUUCCUAAACUGUGAUGCAGAAACACAAUGGGAGCAUCUAUCCGUCUCUGACCACAACUACACUUUAAAAUCACAACUCAACCUGAAGCAACAUACAUCUGAUAUGGGAAAACAAUGGUGCGGUUUCCCGGACAGGGCUUAUCCUGGUCCCAGGCUAAAAUGCAUAUUUGAGCUACAAUAAUUUAAAAACACCUUUUACUGACAUACCUCAACAUAUAUUAGUGCCAUUGUUUUGUCACAAGAUGCGCACCAGUCUUGUUUUUUUGUAGGAUUUGUUUGUAAAAACUAAAAUGUCCUAAUAUAAUUAAGGCCUAGUCCUGUAAAACCUGUCCGAAAAACUGCUUCAAUGCUUCUGCUUCAUGUGUUGAGCUGGCACAAAUGUACAUAUCUCUGCUGAGAAACAACCAUCUUUGGUUCAGCUUUACACAGGGUUGAUAUUGCAUCCAUUACACAGUCGCCAAGCACUUUACCAGUACAUACACCAACAGCUUCCAGAUAUACGCUUGGGAUCAGCUCCUGAUGACUCCGAUAAAGCGGUGUCUUUAUUUAUUGCAGGGUGGUCUUGCUUUACCAGUUGUAAAGUUACAUUAAACCUUCAUAUGUGAUCAGAUGUCAUGCAGUGAUAUUAAUCAUUUACAGUGUGAUCAGAUGUUGUGCAUUUAUAUUAAACAUUUACAAUGUGAUCAGCUGUUACCUGUCAUGCAGUUAUAUUAAACAUUUACAAUGU